rnacentral:rRNA from 1 species
UACAGAGGUCUCAAGCGUUGUUCGGAUUCAUUGGGCGUAAAGGGUGCGUAGGCGGCGCGGUAAGUCGGGUGUGAAAUCUCGGAGCUUUACUCCGAAACUGCAUUCGAUACUGCCGUGCUUGAGGACUGGAGAGGAGACUGGAAUUUACGGUGUAGCGGUGAAAUGCGUAGAUAUCAGGAGGAACACCGGUGGCGAAGGCGGGUCUCUGGGCCGAUACUGACGCUGAGGAGCGAAAGCGUGGGGAGCGAACAGG